UACAUGGAAGGAUGGGCGUUUGAGAGGC
rnacentral:piRNA from 1 species